UACGGGGGGGGUAAGCGUUGUUCGGAAUUACUGGGCGUAAAGAGUGUGUAGGCGGUGCUCUAAGUCUGUUGUGAAAUCUCCCGGCUUAACUGGGAGGGUGCGGCGGAGACUGGAGUGCUAGAGUGUGGGAGAGGUAAGCGGAAUUCCUGGUGUAGCGGUGAAAUGCGUAGAUAUCAGGAGGAACACCUGUGGUGUAGACAGCUUACUGGACCACGACUGACGCUGAGACACGAAAGCGUGGGUAGCAAACAGG
rnacentral:rRNA from 1 species